UCCUACGGGGGGCAGCAGUGGGGAAUACUGCACAAUGGGGGAAACCCUGAUGCAGCAACGCCGCGUGAGUGAAGAAGUAUUUCGGUAUGUAAAGCUCUAUCAGCAGGGAAGAAGAAAGACGGUACCUGACUAAGAAGCCCCGGCUAACUACGUGCCAGCAGCCGCGGUAAUACGUAGGGGGCAAGCGUUAUCCGGAUUUACUGGGUGUAAAGGGAGCGUAGACGGCAGAGCAAGUCUGAAGUGAAAGCCCGCGGCCCAACUGCGGGACUGCUUUGGAAACUGCCCGGCUAGAGUGCUGGCUGGGG
rnacentral:rRNA from 1 species